rnacentral:rRNA from 1 species
GACAUAGGUCGUAAGUGUUAUCCGGAUUUACUGGGCGUAAAGCGAGCGCAGGCGGUUUUGCAAGUCAGAGGUUAAAGACCAUCGCUCAACGAUGGUACGCCUUUGAAACUGCAAGACUAGAGUGUGGUAGAGAGUCUCGGAACUCCUCAUGUAGCGGUGGAAUGCGUAGAUAUGAGGAAGAACACCAGUGGCGAAAGCGGAGACUUAGGCCAUUACUGACGCUUAGGCUCGAGAGUGCGGGGAGCAAAUAGG